rnacentral:rRNA from 1 species
GACGAACGCUGGCGGCGUGCCUAAUACAUGCAAGUCGAGCGCAGGAAACUGACGGAACUCUUCGGAGGGAAGGCAGUGGAAUGAGCGGCGGACGGGUGAGUAACACGUAAGGAACCUGCCUCAAGGAUUGGGAUAACUCCGAGAAAUCGGAGCUAAUACCGGAUAGUUCAUCGGACCGCAUGGUCCGUUGAUGAAAGGCGCUUCGGCGUCACCUUGAGAUGGCCUUGCGGUGCAUUAGCUAGUUGGUGGGGUAACGGCCCACCAAGGCGACGAUGCAUAGCCGACCUGAGAGGGUGAUCGGCCACACUGGGACUGAGACACGGCCCAGACUCCUACGGGAGGCAGCAGUAGGGAAUCUUCCACGAUGGACGAAAGUCUGAUGGAGCAACGCCGCGUGAGUGAUGAAGGUUUUCGGAUCGUAAAACUCUGUUGUAAGGGAAGAACACGUACGAGAGGAAAUGCUCGUACCUUGACGGUACCUUACGAGAAGGCCACGGCUAACUACGUGCCAGCCGCCGCUGUAAUAC